rnacentral:sRNA from 1 species
GCCAUGUAGCCCAAACUGGCCUUGAACUUGCUCUGUAGUGAUGAUGACCUUAAAUUUCUGAUUCUACUUCUUCAACCUACAGGGGAUUGCAGCCUUGCUUUAUGUGGUGCUAGCAAUCAAAGCCAAGACUUCAUAUUCAAUUGCUAUGAAGAGACACCAUGACCAAGGCAACUGAUUAAAGGAAGCAUUUAACUGGGGACUUGUUUACAGUUUCAGAGGGCAGUUCACCCUCUUUCUACCUCACAAAGAGGUUUGAAGUUCCAUAUAUGAUGACUUGGAGACAACAAAAACCACAGCAAGUACAAAGCAAGGUCUACGUGUCUGAGAACAUUUCCAUAGCAGGAAACUUCUUGAAGAUAAACUUCUAGAAGAAAACAAGAGUUACCGGAGAAGAAAAGUCAAUAUAGCCAAAGGCAGAAACCCAAGUAUUCCAACCCAAACAAAGUGAGAUAUUUACGUACUGGAGAAUAGAAGGUAAAUCCCGACUGGUUCUACAGCACGGACAACCCUUGAAGACAAUCUGCUGAGAUAAUGAGACCCUGAAGACCACUACUUCGUGAGUACACUUCAUUCAAACCAGAGUGGAUAGUCAAGUUCAUAAGAACGAGAAAAAGAUGCUGGGGCUGGGAGAAAGAAGGAGUUAUUAAAAUUUAAUAAAUAUUGGUUUGGGCUUUGGAAAACAUUUUAAAAAUUGAAAAUAGAAGCUGCUAAUGGUUGCAUGAUAAUACAGAAGCACACAUAAUGCCACUGAGUCAGGUGCCAAAAAGGUGAAAUGAUGUUUCUUAUGUAUUUACUACAACAGAAAUGCAAAUGUGAUCCCGCUUCUUUCUCCAGAAUAGAUUUGUUUAUGGAAGGAUGGGAAUCUCUGUCUUCGUUGGAGUUUCUAUUGCUGCAAUGAAAUAUAACGAACAAAAAGCAAGUUGGGAAGAA